GGCUCAGAUUGAACGCUGGCGGCAUGCCUUACACAUGCAAGUCGAACGGCAGCGCGGGAGCAAUCCUGGCGGCGAGUGGCGAACGGGUGAGUAAUACAUCGGAACGUGCCCAAUCGUGGGGGAUAACGCAGCGAAAGCUGUGCUAAUACCGCAUACGAUCUACGGAUGAAAGCAGGGGAUCGCAAGACCUUGCGCGAAUGGAGCGGCCGAUGGCAGAUUAGGUAGUUGGUGAGGUAAAGGCUCACCAAGCCUUCGAUCUGUAGCUGGUCUGAGAGGACGACCAGCCACACUGGGACUGAGACACGGCCCAGACUCCUACGGGAGGCAGCAGUGGGGAAUUUUGGACAAUGGGCGAAAGCCUGAUCCAGCCAUGCCGCGUGCAGGAUGAAGGCCUUCGGGUUGUAAACUGCUUUUGUACGGAACGAAACGGCCUUUUC
rnacentral:rRNA from 1 species